UACGUAGGGGGCAAGCGUUGUCCGGAAUCAUUGGGCGUAAAGCGCGUGUAGGCGGUUCGGUAAGUCGGCUGUGAAAGCCCGGGGCUCAACCCCGGGAGGCGGGUGGAUACUGCUGAGCUCGAGUCCGGAAGAGGCGAGUGGAAUUCCUGGUGUAGCGGUGAAAUGCGCAGAUAUCAGGAGGAACACCGGUGGCGAAGGCGGGUCUCUGGGCCGAUAUUGACGCUGAGGAGCGAAAGCGUGGGGAGCAAACAGG
rnacentral:rRNA from 1 species